AGCCGCACCACGCGGCUCGGCCCCAUGCUGGCGCUCCAGCCAGGGUGCUGGGUUGGGGCCAGCACCCGCUCCGACUCCUACGCACUCCAAUGGGAGCUGCAGGGGCAGUGCCUGUGAAUGGGGCAGCGUGCAGAACUGCCUGGCUGCAUCUUCGCAUAGGAGCCAGAGAAGGGAUAUGCCACUGCUUCCAGGAGCUGCUUGAGAUGGGGCAACCACAUCUGCACGCAGUAUUCAAGAUGUGGGCGUACCAUGGAUUUAUAUAGAGACGGGCAUGAGACCUUCCACGCUAGCGUGUGCAGAAACACACCGUCACCAGCAAACCUUUGUGAUUCACACAACGGGACCCAGGUUCUUUGGUACAGCCUGGGUGUUCUGAGAACAGGGCAGUGAAUAGGCCUACAUUGAUGCCGCAGUAAGAACUCUGGGACUAGAAAAAAACGAACAAAGGAAUUAAAAGUCAUGCAUUAUGGCUGCAAAAUCAGAACCCCAGCUCCGCUGCUUCCCACCGUCACAUUACAGAAAAUAAAAACUGCCAUUGAAAAGGCACUAAAACACUAAUUACUGGGCAUGAUCAUUCAAUAAGUACAAUAAGGAACCAAUUUUUAGCUACUGGGGCAUAUGUUCCCCACCCCAACAUAGUGCAGAAAAGAGCAAAGCUACAGAAAGUAUCUGGAAAACAAGAUGGGGAUCCAUGCCUCUCCUGCCUGCGUUGUUGUUUGCAGUCUUCUCUGUGUAACAAAGUCAGUUUUUGAUAUGGAAUAAGGAGGUAUGCACAGCAGAAGGGAGCUCAGGGCUCAUGCAGUUGUACAUGGCAAAUACUCCACUCAGUAAAUUUAUGCUAGGAACUGAACCUCAGAAAAGCAGUGGUUUCCCUUCUCAGUAGUAACUUUCCCUUCUAAAUAGUCACAUCAAAUCUAUCAGAGGAGGAUGGGGGUAACCAACAGCAACACAGGAUCCAACCAAGCACUCAGGAUGGUGCCCAGUAGUCCAGCUGUUACACAGGAAUGCCUGAGAUAGUGGGGAGCUUGGGUCCAGACUUUGCGUGCUAAACAGUCUGCAGGCUGUCUUGCUGAUACUGCAUCACCAAUAGCCCUCACUGCAAAAGGGAAAACAGCAGGUGAAUUUCUCCACUUCCUGCGUUCAGGUGCCUUUUUAAGUCAGAUCUCCCUCCGCUGCAACUUUUCAUGCAUGACCCGCUAUCAAGAUAAGCUGCUGAUAUUCUUUUUAGAAAACAAGCCCAUGUUAAUAAUAAUAACCCCCGAGAUUAUUCAAAUGGAAAGCAUU